UAAACCACGUCAUGAAGGGCUACGUCUACUCAUAGUUUUGAGCACUUCCAAAGAGGGUGACUCCACCAUUUCCCUGGAGAGCUUGUUUCAAUGCUUAAUCACUCUUCCAGUGAAAAAAAUUUCCUAAUAACCAGCUUGAAUUUCCCCUGGUGCAACUUGAGGCCAUUUCCCCUUGGCCUAUUGCUAGUUGCCUGGGAGACAAGGCCAAGUGCCCACCUUGCCACAACCUCACUUCAUACAGCUUAAGCUAGAAGUGUCCUGCACUGCAAAAUGAGCUAACAUACCUGAGUUAAGUUAUGCCUUGAUAAGAUUAAAACUCAAGGAAACAAAAUGAGCAGUUUCAACAAACAAGAAUCUAGGACAUACCCAUUAUGAACUUAGGAUGUACUGAGAUAACUAGGAAGCUACAGAUAGAGGAAAGCUACACACGGGAAGAAUACAAGAAAAGGAGCAAAUCCCACAAGAAAAAGAAGCGUUCAAACAUGACUGAAG